UACAGAUGGGGCAAGCGUUGUUCGGAAUUACUGGGCGGAAAGGGCGCGUAGGCGGCCUUCUAAGUCGAACGUGAAAUCCCCGGGCUCAACCCGGGAACUGCGUCCGAUACUGGAAGGCUUGAAUCCGGGAGAGGGAUGCGGAAUUCCAGGUGUAGCGGUGAAAUGCGUAGAUAUCUGGAGGAACACCGGUGGCGAAGGCGGCAUCCUGGACCGGCAUUGACGCUGAGGCGCGAAAGCCAGGGGAGCAAACGGG
rnacentral:rRNA from 1 species